UACGAAGGGGGUUAGCGUUGCUCGGAAUUACUGGGCGUAAAGGGAGCGUAGGCGGACAUUUAAGUCAGGGGUGAAAUCCCAGAGCUCAACUCUGGAACUGCCUUUGAUACUGGAUGUCUUGAGUGUGAGAGAGGUAUGUGGAACUCCGAGUGUAGAGGUGAAAUUCGUAGAUAUUCGGAAGAACACCAGUGGCGAAGGCGACAUACUGGCUCAUUACUGACGCUGAGGCUCGAAAGCGUGGGGAGCAAACAGG
rnacentral:rRNA from 1 species